ensembl:lncRNA
GUCAUGACCACUUUGGUGACCACGAUGAUCUGUAGGAAUAUAAUACUGGAGACGUACAGCUGGAACGCUUUGGAGGGCGGCAGCAGGUUCCUGACGGCCAGGUGGGCGAAGUUGUAGAGCCAGCAGCACACGUUGACGCCGACCACGAGCCUCCUGCUGAUGAAGCGGCUGUACGCGUACGGGUGGCACACGGCGAAGUACCGGUCGAACUGCGCGAACAUAAACGUCAGUAUGUUGAUCCCCAGAAGCGAGGGUAGGAUGUUAUACGUUCCAUUCCUGGACGGGUGUUCCUCGUGAACGUCGAACAGACCGAGAUAAUACACCGAGAAGCCCACCAGGGUGUCGCAGAUGCUGGUGCUCAGCAUGAACAGGAACCGGUUCUGGAGGCGGAGGGCUCUGGUGGCCAAGAUGGUGACAACCACGGGCCCGGCCACCAGCACGGUGGUGGUAGCGAACAGGAUCUGGAAAAUGAAAAUGAAGUAAUCGGCGGGACCGUCGAAAGCCACCGAGAGGGGGAUCCCGCCUCCCACCGCAGACUCCGUGGUGUUGGAGGGCAGCAUCGUUUCGAUGCGCAAGCUGCGCUCAGGCGCGCCUCUUGUUUUAUAGGUUACUGUGACAUUAGUUACAUUUCAAAUGCAACUGUGUUCACAUCAUCUGCGACGGGGCAACUGCAAGGAACUCUACGUCAAGUGAAAAAAACCUCAAUCCAGAACCAAGGAGAGCUCCACUUCAAAGUUUUUGGUUCAACCAAACGUUGCAAACAAAGAUAGAUUGUCCCCCAAACAUCAGAGAAACCAAGCGAGCUUUAUACCGGCAAACUCGGGCCCCUGUGGUUCCGAACAAUUAAACGUCAGCUCGUGCGCCCUGAUGCGGGAUCAGCGCCCUGGCCAGCGGUCACGACGAACCAUGACGGAAUGUUUUUUUAAUAAAUGAUGAUUAUUUCAGAGAUAGUUGUUUAAAAAAACACCUUACGUGUUAUUCUGUAAUUUUGCAAUGGCUUUUAUCACAAAUAUAACCAGUUUAUUGAUUCCUGUGAAUAAAAUAUUGUUUCC